UACGUAGGGGGCGAGCGUUGUCCGGAAUUAUUGGGCGUAAAGAGCGUGUAGGCGGCCAGAAAAGUCCGCUGUGAAAACUCGAGGCUCAACUUCGAGCUGUCGGUGGAAACUUUCUGGCUAGAGUCCGGAAGAGGAGAAUGGAAUUCCUGGUGUAGCGGUGAAAUGCGCAGAUAUCAGGAAGAACACCCGUGGCGAAGGCGGUUCUCUGGGACGGUACUGACGCUGAGACGCGAAAGCGUGGGGAGCGAACAGG
rnacentral:rRNA from 1 species